CUGUCAGUGCACCUGUGGCACCAGUUAUUAUCUUGAGUACAUUCCCUACCUGAAGGCUGAAAUGGCUAACUGUGGGAAGAGAGGUAAUUGUUGUAGCUCUACUCGUUUGAGAGUUUGUUGUUACAUACUUCCUGAGGGAAAUCCCAUUGAGCUCAACGCCCCUGAGUCUGUGCCCCCAAUUCUGCAUUCUGCAUCCGUUCAGCCUCUUGAGCCACUGUGUUUAUGAGAGAAUCUGUCCCCUCCCAUUCCUAUGACUGACAACACUCUCCAGUGAUGGUGUGAAGCCCACCAGGUGGGCAUUACAGGUUGGAACAAAGUUAUUACAUGGUUUGUGAAUCAUACCUAUACAAUGGUAGGUACCCACUUUAAUGCAAC